UAGAGCUUGAUCAUGGCUCAGAUUGAACGCUGGCGGCAGGCCUAACACAUGCCAAGUCGAGCGGUAGAGAGAAGCUUGCUUCUCUUGAGAGCGGCGGACGGGUGAGUAAUGCCUAGGAAUCUGCCUGGUAGUGGGGGAUAACGUUCGGAAACGGACGCUAAUACCGCAUACGUCCUACGGGAGAAAGCAGGGGACCUUCGGGCCUUGCGCUAUCAGAUGAGCCUAGGUCGGAUUAGCUAGUUGGUGGGGUAAUGGCUCACCAAGGCGACGAUCCGUAACUGGUCUGAUGAGGAUGAUCAGUCACACUGGAACUGAGACACGGUCCAGACUCCUACGGGAGGCAGCAGUGGGGAAUAUUGGACAAUGGGCGAAAGCCUGAUCCAGCCAUGCCGCGUGUGUGAAGAAGGUCUUCGGAUUGUAAAGCACUUUAAGUUGGGAGGAAGGGCAGUUACCUAAUAGCGUGAUUGUUUGAGC
rnacentral:rRNA from 1 species